AAGAAGCUGCAGAAGACUGCAGGCAGAGGAAUGCAGAUUUGGUUGUGAUAGAAAAUCGACAGGAGCAGGAAUUCAUCCAGGAAAUCGGUGAUGGGCCCAGUGACAGUACUUUGUACAGCUACUGGAUUGGCUUGAGAAGAACAAGUGGGGUCUGGAAGUGGCUUGAUGGAAGUGAUCUGACUGAAAACUACUGGAUAUACCAACCUUUAGACAACACGGACUGUGCAGUUUCUGUCCAGUGGAGCUCACCUAAGGGAUG